UACGUUAAAAAUGCCUUUUGUUGUUUUCUACCGACAAAAUGAGAUAUUUUGUUAAACUUUCAGACAUAAGAAGAUUCCAAAAAAAAAAGACAAACUCCUCUCGGCGAUUGUUCAAACGAAUGAGUUCUUCCUCGAUUCCAAACUGCAUGAUCUCCAGCAUAAACGGAAUAGAUCCGACUAAAUUGUGGACGAUCUAAGACUUUCAAAGGAAGAUCUUGGUUACCUCGUUCGAUUUGACCAAAAACGAUGAAGAUCGACGAACUCCCACAAAAGAUCUUCAUCAGAUCCGUAAGGGAUUGGAUUACCUAUAUUAAUAUUGCUGUGUGAUGAAGACGUGGCUAAGACUAUAUUCUUCACAGGAAUUAUUACAACAUGGACAACACAAUUUGAAAGUUAGUAAAUGGGAGUCCACUAACAUGGAUACAAAGGAUAAAAACUUACCAUUAAGCAAUAAAGUCUGAGCUUGCCAUACUGGUAGAAGCUACAUCUGGAUAUUGCGAAACUGCGCAAAAUCUUUGGGGAGAUAUAUAUGACAUUGGAGAUUGUGAGCUACUAAAACUACUAUGAGACACAACGUACUUUCAGAGAAAAUUCAGAUUCCAAAUACAACAAUCAUAGAGAUGUCAUACUUCAUUGGACAACAACAUGAUCUUAAAGUCAAAGAUAAGUUACUUCCUCCAAAUAUUUUUUCCUUUUACAUUUAUAUGUACUUUCCAGCCACUCUUGAAGGGUUUCACAUCUUUCAAAGGGGUCACUUGCAUUGCCGCAGACAUUUUUUUUUGCUUGCUAAUGUAGCUGUGAGUAAAUGUGAGAAAGCUUAGGAAUGAUGUAGGUGUUUAUAUAGCAGUAGGUUAAUCGAUGGUUGUAAAUGACUUUUUAAAAAUAUAUUUACGAUAUUCUUAGUUCGA